AUGAAUGUGUGCAAUUUACUCGAGAAGAGGAGGCGCUCGGGGUCCUGUAUGAAAAAGAAAUUUCUGUCUCAGAAGUCAGUCAGCCUUUGGCACCACUUUUCUCUCAGAGAUUGCCGAUUGGCUGAAUUUUGCACCAAUCACAUCUUUCUUGGUUUCACUGCUAACGGAAACUUUUUGGUCUCCUACACUGUGGACGCAGUACAAAAUGAAAUUGUGGACUCCUACACCUAUAAAAUCCAUUGGUGGUCAAUUUGCCGAAGUCCCAAAAGCAGACGACUAUCGCUGAAGACAAUCAAGUCCAGCCCGCUUUUCGAAGGCCGGCACCUUUCGCUGAAAGUGAUUAUUUGGAUCUAUCAUUGGCCUAAUGAUGAAUCGAAACUAAUUGUACACGGAAUUGACAAAAUGUGCAGCUUCAAUCUUCAAUUUGCCAUGACUUCUUCCUCGGGUGUAUCCGAUUUCGAAUAUCAAUCGAUGAUUAAUGUGUUCCCGAAUCCGCAAACUGCGAGUUCUAGUUACAUCAAAAAUAAUAAUCAGGAUGGCAAAGCUUGUAAUAGUCACGAUUGGUCCGUGUAUUUAGACAUUCCAACUCAAAGCUCCUUUAAGCUUCCCAACUUUUACCGAGAUUUGACGAUCAUCAACAACGCUUUAAUUUACACAAAUGGAUUUACAGUGAAGUUUGUUGAGUUCAUUUUUGAUGGCAAAUCAUCUCAAAAUAAAAAUUCCUCAGCUAAUGUCAAAAGCUCUUCAGAAAAACUGUCUCUUGAAAGCGAGAAAACAAUGAAUUUUGAUUGUGUUGAGAUUAAUUCAGCCCAGUUUCUCUCUCAAAAUGGUGUAGCGUGUAAUUGUAGUUUUGCACAAGGAGAUAAAUUGGAGAGUACACUUUUGUCGGAACAUGUGAGUUAUUCGGAUGACCGAAUUGGAAGUUGUGAGAACAAUCCGGUGGGUAGUUCUUUGAGUCUGAAGUUCCACGAGGUGGCGACAUCCAUGAAGAAAUCGAAAAAAUCCUGCUUUCUUAAAGUUACGGAAGUGUGCUUGGGAAUCGAAGAAAUGAUGGGAUCCAUUCUUGACUCAGAUUACUCCGAGGCCCUACAGAAACUGAACUUGGAUCUAAUUUUGACAGAUUACACUACAAUUGUGUUGUCAGUUUGCCCAUUGCUGUACAAUGUGCUGUUUAAAAUCCCAGCUGUGUUCGUGGACAGAUUAUCGGGAUUUUUCUUCAAGUCGUCCUUUCUGAUUAGAUGGAAUAUUACGAGUGGAGUGUUUGAAGUGAUUAAGAGAGAAGAGAUUAAGAAGACGAGUGAAAGGCAGUUGAAUGUGAAUGCUGAAGUGAAGCCGCUCUUUCAAACAAACUGGAGAGAACAUCUCAAAACUUCGCAGUUUCCUCUGGAGUCAAGUCUGGACGCUGGGAACAAUGUUCCUUUUCUAGUCGGGAAGUCCAAGAGUUCCAUGUUCAACAGACAACAGCAUCUUCUGCUCAAGCUAUGAGUUGCUCUCUUCUGCUUUAUAUUUCUGCUUCGUUUCUGUUUAUUUUGCUCGGUCGCUGAACGCUGA